ACUCUCGCAAUGGAUAUCUCGGCUCUCACAUCGAUGAAGAACGAGCAAAAUGCGAUACUUGGUGUGAAUUGCAGAAUCCCGAACAAUCGAAGUCUUUGAACGCAAGUUGCACCCCAAGCCUUCGGCCGAGGGCACGCGGUGCCUGGGUGUCAAAAUCGUCGUGGUUUACCGCACGCCGGUUGGCCAAAAUCCGAGCUAAGGACGCCAGGAGCGUUUUACAUGCGGUGGUGAAUUCAAUUCUCGCCAUAUAGUCAGACAUUCGAUCCAAAAGCUCUUUGAUGACCCAAAGUCCUCAACGCUGACCCCAGGUCAGGCGGGAUCACCCGCUGAGUUUAAGCAUAUCAAUAAGCCGGAGGAAAAGAAACUAACAAGGAUUCCCUUUAGUAACGACGAAAUAACCGAAAAGCCCAGCUUGAAAAUCGGACGCCUUUUCGGAGCUCAAAUUGUAGUCGUGAGAAGCCCCUCAGCGGACGGACCGGCACCAGAGAGGGUGAGAGCCCGCCGCGUUCGGACCCUGUCUCACCACGAGGCGCUGUCUACGAAGUCGGGUUGUUUGGGAAUGCAGCCCCAAUCGGGCGGUAAAUUCCGGGCCCAAGGCUUAAUAUGAGCUGAGAGAUCGAUAAAUAACAAGUACCGCGAGGUAAAGAUGAAAAGGAAUUUGAAAAGAGAGUCAAAAAAAGUGCUUGAAAUUGUUGGGAGGGAAGCGAUAGGGCCGGCGGAUUCGUCCCUAUCGGAUUCGAACGGAGCAAUCCGGUCCACCGAUCGAUUCGGGCCGUGGACCGAUGCAGAUUAAGGUGGUGACCUAAGCCCGGGCUUUUUUGUUACGCCCGCUGGAGACGCCACUGCCUUUAAUCGUGGUUUGCAGCAUGCCUCACGGCGCGGUUUCACAUCUGCGCGUGCUCGGCGCCGGCCUGGGGCUCCCCAUUCGACCUGUCUUGAAUCACGGACCAAGAGUCUGACAUGUGCGAAGUCAACGGGUUCGUAAACCUGUAAAGCAAAGAAGCUGAUUGGCUGGAUCCUCACGGUGCCCAGCCGACUGACCUUGAUCUUCCGAGAAGGGUUCGAAAGUGUGAGCAUGCAUGUCGGGACCCGAAAGAUGGUGAACUAUGCUUUUGGAGCGGGCUAAGUCGGCGAAACUCCUGGUGGUGGCCUGCGUGAUACCGACAUGCAAAUCGCUUUCGCCUGAAUUGGGUAUAGGGGCGAAAAGACUAAUCAAACCAUCUAGUAGCUGGUUCCCUCCGAAGUUUCCCCUAAGGAUAGCCGGAGCUCGGAAACGAAGUUCUAUCGGGUAAAGUCAAUGAUUGAGGCAUCGGGAUGCAAUUUCCUUGACCUAUUCUCAAACUUUAAAUAGGUUGGACGGGGUGGCUGCUUUGUUGAGCCAUCCCACGGAAUCGAGAGCUCCAAGUGGGCCAUUUUUGGUAAGCAGAACUGGCCAUGCCGGAUGAACCAAAAGCCGGGUUAUGGUGCCCAACUGCUCGCUAACCUAGAACCCACAAAGGGUGUUUGUCGAUUAAGACAGCAGGACGGUGGUCAUGGAAGUCGAAAUCUGCUAAGGAGUGUGUAACAACUCACCCGCCAAUCAACUAGCCCCAAAAUGGAUGGCGCUGAAGCGUCGACUAUAUACCCGUCCGUCCGGGCAAAGAGCCAGGCCUCGAUGAGAAGGAGGGCGCGGUGGUCGCUGCAAAACCUAGGGCGUGAGCCCGGUGGAGCAGCCGUCGGUGCAGAUCUUGGUGGUAGUAGCAAAUAUUCAAAUGAGAACUUUGAAGGUCAAGAGGGGAAAGGUUCUAUGUGAACGGCACUUGCACAUGGGUUAGUCGAUCCUAAGACUCGAGGGAAACCUGUCUGAUAUGCUUUAUGCGCGAACUUCAAAGGGGAUCCGUUAAAAUUCCAGAACUGGGACGUGGCGGUUGACGGCUACGUUAGGAAGUCCAAAGACGCCGGGAAUUCGGAAAGAGUUAUGUUUUCUGUUUAACAGCCUGCCCACCAUGGAAAGGGCUCAGGCCGGAGGGGUCCAGCGGCUGGAAGAGCACCGACGCUAUGCGUGUUGUCCGCGGAUUCCCCGCCCUUGAAAAUCAGGAGGACUGAGUGCCGCCAUGUCCGGUCGCAUCAUAACCGAUCAGGUCUCCAAGGUGAACAGCCUCUUGUCGAUGGAACAAUGUAGGCAAGAGAAGUCGGUAAAAUGGAUCCGUAACUUCGAAAAAAGAUUGGCUCGAGGGCUGGGCUCGGGUCCCAGUUCAACACGCCGACUGUUGGCGGGCUGCUUGAGCUGCUAACGGGCGAGAGCGACCGCCUUGUGUCCGGCCGAGGGAUGGACUGGGAACGCUCUUUCGAGAUCUUUCCCCGGCGCCGAACAGCCAACUCCAGAACUGGUACGACAAGGGUAAUCCGAUUGUUUAAUUAAAACAAAGCAUUGUGAUGGUCCCCGCGGAUGCUAACGCAAUGUGAUUUCUGCCCAGUGUUCACAAUGUCAAAGUGAAGAAAUUCAACCAAGCCGGGUAAACGGCGGAUUAACUAUGAAUCUCUUUAAGGUAGCCAAAUGCCUUGUCAUCUAAUUAGUGACGCACAUGAAUGGACUAACGAGAUUCCCACCGUCCCUUGUCUACUAUCCAGCCAAAACCACAAACCAAGGGAACGGGCUUGGCAGAAUCAGCGGGAAAGAAGACCCCGGUUGAGCUUGACUCUAGUCCGACUUUGUGAAAUGACUUGAGAAGUGUAGAAUAAGUGGGAGCUCCAACGCAAGUGAAAUACCACUACUUUUAACGUUAUUUUACUUACCCGCGAAUCGAGGCGGGUAACAACCCCUUCUUUUAGACCUAAGACUCGCUUUGGCCGGGUCAAUCCGGCGGAGGACAUUGUCAGGUAAGGAGGUUGUAGGGGCUGGUGACCAGGCGGGAUUCCGCUGGUUAAAGAUUUUGAGGAUGUGUUUCGGGAACUACAGGGCAUUCCCCCUGAUAGGGCUGGCCGGUUCAUAAUAGAACUAGAACCAGGGACGGCCCCAAUGUCCAAAAGUCCAUAUCGUAUGGCUCCGCCGAGAUGGCCGAGCUAAAGAAGCAACUGGAAGAGUUGUUGGACAAAGGGUUCAUACGACCAAGUGUCUCCGCCUUGGGAGCACCGGUUCUUUUUAGAAGAAAAAGGAUGGUAGCUUCAGGCUGUGUAUUGAUUACCGAGGGUUGAAUAGGGUUAGGAAUGCUACUGAGGUUAGGAGUUUCCCUAGGGCUGGCCGGCUACUACAGAAAGUAUGUCAAGGGUUUGCCCGUUUGGCUCAACCCAUGACAAACCUAACUUACAGGCAAGGAUGAAGUUUGCCUGGAAUGAAGGGUGU
rnacentral:rRNA from 1 species